rnacentral:rRNA from 1 species
GUGGUGAUUAAAGCAAGAAGGACCCACCUGUUCCCAUGCCGAACACAGUCGUUAAGCUUCUUAGCGCCGAUGGUAAUGAAGACGUUAUCUUUGUGAGAGUAGGUCGUUGCCACGC